CGGGCGGGAACGCGGCGCGCCCGGGUCGCUGCCGGCGCGGGCCGGCGCCCGGGGGGGAGGCGGGAACUUACAGCCGCCGGUCCUCGGGCUGCAGCUGCCGGUGCAUGGCGAGCGAGAAGCCGAAGAGGCUCCCGGGCUCCCCGGCUUUCCGGAUCACAUGGUCCUCGCGGGUGUCCAGGUUGAAGGCGGCGCCGAGCCGGGGCAGGAGCCCCGCCGACAGAUGAGAAAACUUGGGGAGUUGAAGUAAAUUACCCAGGAUCACAAAUCUAAAUGAAUGAAAGAAGAGAAAGCAAAACUACAUCUCCUGCAAAAGAUGUCCAUAUCCUUCUGCUUUCACUUUUCUGGAUUCCAGCUGCUGUCUGAGAUGCUGUUCUGUGAUUAUUUGGAUCUCAAAGAGCAAACAACACUUACUUCAUAACAGAUGUGUGCCUGAAGUCCACCCACUGGAUGUAAUUUGGAGAUUUUUUUUGUAAUGCAGGCAUGGAGAAGAGACCAAUAUCGGGAUGACUGGUGCUGGUCAGUUCAAUCAGAUUGGUUUUCAGCUGCCAAAGGGGAAUGAAAGUCUUGCCUGAGCAAAAAAGAAGGAAGUAAAUCGAACUGCUUGAAGCCCAUGGGGAAAUUAAGCAAGUCUGGGGUGGAUCUCAAUAAAGUCGCCUAAGGGCACUGCUACCCAGGAGGGGCUCCAGGAAGUGAAAGACAUGAAUAAAGGAAGAUCUGGGGCAAAUGU